UAGUCUGGGAUUUGAUAUGUAGCUGAGGAAUACCUGGAGUUCUGGAUCAUCCCUAUGGAAUUACUGAUCAGCACCACUGACCCUGAAUUUUCUCCUUUUUUCUUUAGCUUUUGUUUCGGGACCAGUCUUUCUACUCAGAGUCUUCUGAAGUACCACAAACAUGAGUUGUAGCAGGACGCCACUCUUCUUCUAAGCUGGUGAGCUGUGACCUGGAUGGGAGGGAGGUAAAGGAGGCUCUCCCCAUCCCAUGCCACCUUGAGGACACUCGGCUCCGUGGGACAGAUGGAAGGACACCAGUGCAUGUCCACAUGUGCAGCUGAUGACCCUAGGAAGAUGGAGCCUCACCCCCACAGUUUGAAGAAAACAAUGACAUGGCAUCCCAUCACAACCGCAUAUUCCUUGUGAAUCUGAAUACCGUUCAAAUGGAGAAAUGAAAACGGAGCAUCCAGAUGUGCAGUGAAUAUUUUGUGUGACUCACAUCAGGAAUUGGCCUGAGCAUUGAGUUCAUCCCUUGUGCACUGCACUGAGGAGCUGUUCGGUAAGUAUUGAUCAUGUGGGAGGUGUGUGGAGGGAGGUUUGGAGGCUAUGGGGAACCCA
rnacentral:lncRNA from 1 species